rnacentral:lncRNA from 1 species
UUCGGCCGCCGAAAGUGAGUUUCGGCCGCCGAACAUGCAUGGCUUUUGGAUUCACGUUCGGCCGCCGUAGAUGGUCUGGCCAGCCACCUAUAAAAGGCCCUAGGUCGGUGAAUGGAUAAGAUUUUCUUUCCAUUUGCAUGAGCUGAGGUGAGACCAUGAUCUUCCUUGGGUGAUUUUCAUGUUUUCUCAAAUCUUUCAAAGUUUUGAUGAGUUUUUAUGUUAGUUUGAAGUUUUUGAGUAAAAGAUCUAAGUUUGGAAGCUUGGAGACUUUGAGAGAUGAUUUCUCCAUAUCUCCACGUUGGGAUCGUUUAUUCUCUUGUUUGGAAGAGGUAAGUGAAGAUCCUGAACUUCCUUUCUUGUUUUAUGAAGGUUUUAUGGAAGUUUUAUGGUAGAUAUGCAUGUUUAGGUUUAGUUGUGGUUUUUGAGGUUUUUGGGUGAUAAUAUGUAUAAGUGAUGUGUUGAUGUGGGGUUUUAGGUUAGUUUGGACCCCUUUUAUGCAUGAUAUAUGGUAUGUACUAGUUGGGAGUAGUUGGUUGCAUGUAUAGGUAAGGUUAGAAAAGUUUGCAUGAAGCAGAGCAGGGUUCUGCCCAACGGGCAAAACCAGGUUCGGCCGCCGAAGGAAGGUUCGGCCACCGAACAUGCUGAGGAGGUGGUUUCGGCUGCCUAAACUCACCCCUGAAAGAUUGGACUUUCGUCUAUGGAGGGGGGUUCCGGCCGCCUAAAGUGCCGCCGAACUUGCCGCCGAAGGUGCCCUAUCCCACCUUCUUUUGCAUGUUUUAUGUGAUUAUUUUAGGAUGUUUUAGAGGGCUUUGGGGGAGUUUUAUAGAGUUGUUCUUGAGUUAGUUUGGUCCCUCAUUUGAGUCCACCUGUGUAGGAACGGACCAGAGGAACCAGAGAGAUCAGCAGUGAGCACUGCUUCAGAGUUUGCAGAGUCAGUACAGAGUCAGCCAGAGGUGAGUGGAACUAAACUUAAUUUUUAAUAUGAGAAAUUAAAUGCUUUUAGUAUGUUUCAUGCAUCAUGAUAUGCAAUAGGAUUGAUUGCAUUAGUGUACACGAAUAUGACGCAUUGCAUUUAACCUUGUACUUGGCACUGCUCCUUGUACAUUGUAUGAUGUGCAGAUCGGACAUAGUUUUGGAAACAUUAGCCCUCACAGUAAAGUCCUGAGGAGCCCCAUCGAGGGCCGGGCACAGUAAAGUCCUGAGGACCCUCUGAGAGGGGCCGGGCACAGGGUACUUCGGUACUAUUGAUUGUAUAAUAAAGUCCUGAGGAGCUCCUUCGCGGGCCGGGCACAGAUUCGAGGGAGUUUUGUUCCGUCCGUCUGAGAUGAUGUGAUUUACUUGUGAUGUGAUGCAUUCCAUGAGAUCAUGUUUUAAUGACAUGUUUUAUCUGUUCUACUCACUGGGCUAGUAUAGCUCACCCCUCUCCCCUAACUCCAGUUUUGCA